AACGCACAUUGCGCCCUUUGGUAUUCCGAAGGGCAUGCCUGUUCGAGCGUCAUUAUCACCCCUCAAGCCCCCGGCUUGGUGUUGGACGGUUGGUGUCGAAAGUCACCCCUCCCAAAGACAAUGACGGCGGCCACGUUGGACCCCCGGUACACUGAGUUCCUCACAGAACACGUACUGGAUCAAGGGCUCACGAGGCACGGUCUGCCUCCCCUCAGGGAGAACUUUUCUCAAGGUUGACCUCGGAUCAGGUAGGAAUACCCGCUGAACUUAA
rnacentral:misc_RNA from 1 species